CUCCACUCUGGGCUCUCAUCAUCCAAUGUUGGUUGGGUCCAGUGCAGCUCCCUGCAUUCCUGAGCCUCCAGGUACAACCUGGAUGUGUGAGAUUCUAGACAUGAUUCAAAAUGACGGUGAUGAGGUAAAAUGCAGACGCACCAUUUCCUCAGAAAGAGUUCCCUUCCUUGAACUGAAAUUUCCCCGUAAGGAGAGAUCUGGUUUGGAGAAAGCUCUUGUGAUGCCCUCUCUGAGAAUUGUGGCCACACACAUUCCUUCACACUUGCUGCCGCAGUUUUUCUGGAAGCAGAACUGCAAGAUCAUCUAUGUGGCCUGAAAUCCUAAAGACUGCCUGAUGUCCUACUACCACUUCCACAGGAUGACCUCCCUGCUGCAGGAUCCUGAGAGGUGGGAGGACUUCUGUGAGGACUUCAUGUCUGGAAAGUGGAAGUGGAAACUGACUUCCUGGUGCACUGUCUUCUGCAGCUUCCUUGGUAGAAUCUCAAUGGAGGAUCUGGAGUCUGGAGGAGAAUGGUGGUGAAUGGUGCUGAAUUCCAUCCUGAGUGACCAGAUCCGGUCUUGGAGAUGCAGAGCUGGGGAGGUCAGAAUCCAAAACCUGAGAUCUGCAAGAUCCUGAAGUUUUUGGGGAAAACUCUGUCAGAGGACGCCAUAAACAAGAUCAUCCACGACACCUCCUUUGAUAUGAUGAAGGAAAAUCCCUUCACCAAUUGAACCACUCUUCCAUCCUACAUUUUCAAUUACACCACCUCUCCAUUCCUGAGGAAAGGUUAAACUACCAGAUACAAUCAUUUGAAGAUCACUGGGAUCCAAACAACAUUUAUGAGGAACUAAGUGUCAUUAAUUUCACCCACCCUCACUCAACUGCUUUGUAAAGACAAAUCACUGUGCCUCAGGGAACCAAUGAAUUCCUGGAGACUGGAAGAACCAUUUUACUGUGGCUAUGAAUGAGAACUUUGAUAAGCACUAUAAGAAGAAAAUGGCAGGAACCAUGCUGACCUUUCGCACAGAAAUCUGAGAAGGAAAAAAGGAGUCUAUGCCAAUUACCUGCUUGCUGGUCUAUGCUGAGUGUCCUGCCUACUACUCUAUGCCAGGUAUCCUAACUAGCAGUCCACACUAAAUACCCUGCCUGCUCCUCUGUGCUGAAUACUCUGCCUGCUCAUCUAUGGAGGAAGAGCUGAAAGCAAAGCUUAUUAGCAGUCAAUAUUUCUCUCCCAGGUACUCAGCUAAUCUGGUACAGUGCUAAAACAUGAUUAAUUACCAGUCAUCCUGUUACUGUACUAAAGUAUGAGAAGUGAAGAGCUACAGUUGGGCAUCAUGGGAUUUUUGAAAAUACAAGAAUACUUGAUUGCAUGCUACAAAUAAAGGAAAGAGAAGCAAUUAUAUGAUGUGUUCACACAUGUAAUCUAACAUGGAGACCACACAGAAGUAAGAGACAAAUGUCACAAGCUCCAUUAUUGAGAGCAUAGGCCCUGCUGAGGCAUGCAGCAUUUAUGUACGGACAGUCAUUGAUGGUAGCAUCCACUAUGGGCAGGAAAAGCAGGCUUAUGACUCCCCUCCUCCCACAGGCACAUUAAGUAGCUCCUAUUACCCAGGCCUCCAUCCUCUUUCCAAAUAAUGGCUUCUGUCCCACCUCUUAUCAACACAUAAUUUCUAGAGAAACACUUAGUACAAAGAUAGAAAGUCUGACAAUCACCACCCUUAGUGGUGUCAGAACCUCUGGCCAGGCUGAUUAGGAAGGAACACAUGCACAGAGCAGUUCACAAAGUCCUGCACAUGGACCCAUUGCUGAGUUCUGUCUUCAGUUCCUCUUGGGGGAACUCUCUGCAGUUUCUGAUAGGACAGCCAGGACCUGAGGUCAGGCUUUCAAUAUGAUUUUUUAAUCUCCUGGAUUUCUAAUUGAAAUCUUUACAUGCACUCUAAUUGUUUGGUGACCUGAUCAUUCAUGGUUUGUAUUGUUUCUGUUUAGCUUUCUAUUAGUGUCUUCUGCCCUUGAUCUUAGCCAAAAGGCCAAGAAGUGAUCUAUUAGUAUCUUCUGAAGCUCCUGCAUCUUUUUGGUAAUUACUUAUAUUAUAUAUUUUGUUCUAUCUUCUCUAAUCCUGCUGAGUAUCUCUGAGCUGUUUUCUAGCCUUCACUGCUAAGCUUUCGAGUAAUUCUUCUAUGUAGCUUAUACCAUUCUGACUCUUGGUGCCCCCUGAAUUGGCUUCAGAGGAGUUGGGGCUUUUGGGAGGCAUUUUAUUACUUUUUCUUCCCAUGUUUCUAUUGUUUUUGUUCAUUUAUUUGUUUAUUUAGUUUUGUGGUGAGGCUUGUGGGUGCUUAUAGUCUAAAGACUUUGAUGCUCAUUUAGAGAUCUCCUCAGUUGCUUUUCAGUGAUGUACUGUGGACAUGGCUAAUUAUAAUACUUUUCCACAGUCCCAAGAUUUGACCACUUUUGUUAUGAAAGUGUAGUUAUUUUUUGAUAUAGUGUAGUUAGUCCAGUGACCAAGUUCUCUGGCAAUGUGCUCUAGUAUUGUUAAUGUUUCAAAGGCAGUCUGAGUGUUGGGUUACAGAGAAAUAAUGACAAAUAUGUCACCUUGUUAACAUCAAGUGAAACAGCUAAGAAGUAUUGCCUGAGAUAAAUUAGAUGUUAACAUACCAUAAGAACCAGUUUAUGUACCACCCUUAUUUCUAUAGAAGAAACCGUUGAUUAUGAUGUAAACAUUAAAGCAACCCGGGUAUUGACUUGCAGCUGAAAUGUGCUAAAUGCAACAGCUAUAUCUCUGCUAAUGGUAGAAAAGAAUUCAACGUAAUUUUACAGAGUUAACUGCCAAAAGAUUAAUGCAGUUUUAUGGUUAUACUGUUCAAGAUUUAGGGUUUGGGAAUGGGGAAAUCAAAAGGAAAACUUUGGAAGCUUAAACUCUAUUAUAUGAGGAGAAGAGAGAAGUGGUACAAAGAAUCUUAUUGGGGAGUAGAAGGAUGUCUAUAUAAUUGGGUAAAAGUAUGACAAAGUACUGUGAAGAAAUAGAAGAUAAAGGAAAAGAGGAACAAAAGAGAAAGAAAUUAUACAGAGAGUAAAAGUAAGAGAGAAGUAAUUGAGGGGAGAAUAUUUAAAAGGGAGAAGAGAAAAAAAUAGAGAAAUAAAAAAAGAAAACAGAUUAGAAGCAAGGCUGAAGGACUAAGGAAGAUUAUCCAAGCAUUAGGAAACUGGUGAAGAAGACAGGAGGUAGGAAAGAAGAAACAAAAAAAGAACAACAAACAAACAAACAAACAACCUAAAUCCAAUGUUCACACUCUCAAUAAAACAUAAAAGCAAACAAUCAAAAAUAAAAGCAACUGAAAAAAAAGAAAUUUCGCUGUGAUUUCAUGCCUUUGGUUAUCUUCUGGGCUCUACAGUUUUGUGGCAGUGUCCAAUUCCAGGCACAACUUGCUUUUACAAGUAGACAAAAGAAGUAGUCAGAGCCCAGAUCAUUGCUGAGUACCACCAGCAAGCAGGCAGUAGGAUUAGGGUGAGUUGCUGGUUCUGGGACUUUCAAAUCCACAGAAGUUCAGGCCUCUGGUCAUGGGGGAGGUGCCUGAAUUGUUUAGCUUAGAACAGUCUCUGAGUGUCUCUUGCUGGCCUGACCAUAGCUCCCUGACCAUAGCUCCCUGACCAUAAAUGUCUCCUGUGGUUGUCCCUCACUUAGUCACUGUGGGAGUUUAACACUGGGAGCCUUGAGAUGAAGCCAACCAAUGACUACUCUGAGUCUCAGGUUCAGUUGGUCCCUUCCUAGUGGCAUCUGAUCCAGUUGGCAUCUGACUAGGCAACCUCUCCAAGGAAUAUGGCAGAUACUUAAUCUGGAGCCAGUCUCCAGAUGUUAUUGUGCACAGAAUUUGCUGCUGCAUUCCACUGGUAUGUUUCUCCCUUGAAGGCCUCUAGGUGAAUGUCACCUACAUUCACUUGUGUCUCUGUAGAUUUGAUCUUCCUUUCUCAUGAGCCAAAAGGCAGGAAUCAUGGAAUAAGGCGCAUUGACAUUUCCUCUUUCUGUAUUGUGUUCUGUCUCUUCAAUUUCUCUAUAGGCUCCAAUUUUCCUUUCAGAUCCUUCCUAGGUCCCAGGGAUCCACCUCCCUCCUUUUCUUUCCCAAGUUGUUAUUUGCCAGGGUCUGGAUUCUGAAUCUUAGAGAGGCUGAUUUGUUGCUGCUUACUGCUCUGCCAUCUUCCCAGAAGUCCUCCUACAGCCUUUGGUAUAAAUUAAUUUGGAAAUGUUUGGAAUGCAGGCUAGUGAAGCUUUACAUGGGUGAUUCUAGUCAGAGUUCAAAAGUCUAUAAUGCCGAUAGGAAUGUGGACAGUAAAGACCAUGCUCAGGAGGUUUCAGUUCAGAACUAGUACUCCACUGGCAAUACUAGUACUCCAAACUAGAGGGCAUGUGUGUUACAUAUUGGUAGAAAACUUGUCCACAUUUUGCCCAUGUACUGGUACUUUGAGACUGGACUUGUUGAUCUUGCACAAAAAAUUUCAAGGUAGCCCAAUGUUCAGGCUGUGGUAUGGAUACUGGUAGGUACUUUUUAGCCAUAUUUAUAGUGAGAAUCAGGAGCAAAAAGAGCCAAAGGUGUGAAAGUUUGCAGUUUCAUUAAGAAAGGAGGAGACUGCAAUUUUGUGGAGUGUAAAGAUCAAGUACUUUGCCUCAGGACAAUAGGAAUGAUGACUUGAAGACAUCUCAGGAAUUGGUUAUACUCCACCCAUCACUGGCUGAAGGGUGUAAAAGGGUAAACUCCCUUGAAAUACUUUCCUUUCAGGAGAAAUGUUGCCCAGGAGACCUCCUCUUUCACAGCUAUCUAGGGAAGUUAUCCUUUAUUUCAGACAUCUAGGCACUCUGACAUCUCUGGAGCCAUCAUCUAAGGGGGCCAUGCUAUUCCUUGAGCUGGUGGAAGACUUUGGCAUCAUCCAUGUGAUGCUGACUUUUCAGGUUUACAAAAUACAAGAGUUGGGUCAAGGAGGUUUCCACCGAGAUUUCAGAAGGCGGCCCAGGAGACCAGGCAGUGUGUGUGUCUGAGAGAGCAGUGUGUGAAUUUGUGAGAGUGAAGCCAAAGGUGCAUUGAGACCUCAGGCAGUUGGGGAAAUGAGGAAUGUGAAACAUCUGCUGAGCAAAGCCACAGGUAGUGAGCAGAGCCACUUGAGAGAAAGGCCAUGUGGACUGCAACUAGCCAGGCCAUGGGGUGUAGCCGCUUAAGCUUAAGGAACUCACAUCUUGCAACCACCUGCCCCAGGUGCUGGGUAUGUAUGGGUAUACAUCUACAGGAUUUAGUGUUUGCCCUGCUCCAUGUCCAUUUCUUUCUAUUAUUCCAUUCCCCCAUCCCCCCAUUUUUUUUUGGUACUGGGAAUUGAACUCAAGACCUUGUGCUUGCAAGGCAGGUGUGGCACCACUGAGCUAAAUCCCCAGGCCCCAUUUCUCCCUUUCUGAUUGGUAAUGUUUACCUCAUGCCAUUGUGUGUUUGAAAUAUUUAAUUUUUUAAAAAGAGGUUCAGAGUUCUGCGUUUCUCUUGAGUCUCAGAGGAGACUUUGGAUUUGGAAUUUUCAGCAAUGCUGCAACUGCUAAGACUGGUGACUCUUAGAGAUGGAUUAAAUGCAUUUUGCAUAAUGAGA